UACGAAGGGGACUAGCGUUGUUCGGAUUUACUGGGCGUAAAGCGCGCGUAGGCGGAUCGCUAAGUCAGGGGUGAAAUCCCAGGGCUCAACCCUGGAACUGCCUUUGAUACUGACGAUCUGGAGAUCGGGAGAGGUUGGUGGAAUUCCGAGUGUAGAGGUGAAAUUCGUAGAUAUUCGGAGGAACACCAGAAGCGAAGGCGGCCAACUGGCCCGAUACUGACGCUGAGGCGCGACAGCGUGGGGAGCAAACAGG
rnacentral:rRNA from 1 species